UACGUAGGGGCAAGCGUUGUCCGGAAUCAUUGGGCGUAAAGAGCGCGUAGGCGGUCCGGUAAGUCCGCUCUGAAAGUCCGGGGCUCAACCCCGGGAGGCGGGCGGAUACUGUCGGGCUAGAGUCCGGAAGAGGCGAGUGGAAUUCCUGGUGUAGCGGUGAAAUGCGCAGAUAUCAGGAGGAACACCGAUGGCGAAGGCAGCUCGCUGGGACGGUACUGACGCUGAGGCGCGAAGCGUGGGGAGCAAACAGG
rnacentral:rRNA from 1 species